GAUGAAGAACGCAGCGAAAUGCGAUAAGUAAUGUGAAUUGCAGAAUUCCGUGAAUCAUCGAAUCUUUGAACGCACAUUGCGCCCCCUGGCAUUCCGGGGGGCAUGCCUGUCCGAGCGUCAUUUCUGCCCUCCAGCCCGGCUGGGUGUUGGGCGCUGUCCCCCCGGGGACACGCCCCAAGGGCAGUGGCGGCGCCGCGUCGGGUCCUCGAGCGUAUGGGGCUUUGUCACCCGCUCGGGACGGACUCGUCGGCGCUGGUCUUCCUCCAGGCGACCCUUCGGGGCUCGUCUUCCUUCGGUUGACCUCGGAUCAGGUAGGGUUACCCGCUGAACUUAAGCAUAUCAAUAAGCGGAGGA
rnacentral:misc_RNA from 1 species